ensembl:rRNA 5S_rRNA 5S ribosomal RNA
GCUCACAGCCAAACCAGCCAAAGAACACCCAAUUUCAUCUGAUCUCGGAAGCUAGGAAGGCUUGGGCCUGGUUAGUACUUGGAUGAGAGACUGCCUGGGAAUACCAGGUGCUUUAAGCU